rnacentral:lncRNA from 1 species
UGGGAGGCUGGCUGGGUGCUCCGUCCUCCCUCCGCUCUUGCCAGCUCCGGUUUGGGCCACUCGAGAGUCCCAGGGCUGCCAGCUCCCGAAGUGGACCCUCUCCCCCACCAGACUCUGCAGGAAUUUGAAGGGAAGUUACAGGUUGCUUCCUACCAUGCAUCCCCUGGACACGUUGGUGUCUGUUUUGGGGAGUUGAAAGUCUGUUUCAUCCUGCGGACAAAACGUCUAACUUCUCUGCAGUCAACGCGAGCCGGCAGGGGCAGUUUCAGGCAGCAGAGAGUGAGAUCCCUGGGCCUCAGGUGCAUGGCCAAGUUGCUCUUUUCUCCCAGAGCUCACUUUCUCAGGGAAAUACACGACACACUAGCGCUCAGGGGUCCCUCUCAGGCCUAUUACUGGAAUGGUCUGCAGCAUCCAGCGCCACAUUUCCUUUGAUGGCUGAAAUCCAGUCAACAUUGAGCUUUACCUUCCCUGCUUUGAUGACAGCAAUUGGAAGUGACAUUGAAGCAGCUGAUGAUGCCCUGGACCAGUUGGAGUGAUCGAUAAGUCAGUGGUCAGGGCCUGACCUGCCUGUUAGUCUUCUAGUUUCUGAGAGAAACAAAAACGAAGACAAAUAUAAAAGCCAACCUUCAUAAAGCACUGGCGGAGCAGUCGGGACCAGGAGCCCAAGGUCAGUGUGUCGCCCGGCACCAGCACCCGUGCCUCAGCCGCCCGCUCUGCCCUGUGAGGCCCGCUGUGUGCAGGGCAGCAGUGCAGUGUCUGUGGGUGCACACACCGGGCCUCUGGGCCGUGCGCAGCAUUUCUGUUGUAAUAUUUGAUUUUCUGCUGGCAUAGAUCUCUCACUUAAGUGACGAGUGGUGGGCAUUUUUAUUUUACAUUUAAAUAUUUUAUUUUAAAGAAGGGAAUCCAUUUUCUAGGGAGAGCACAGAAGUAAAAUUCCAAAUGCAGAGCAUAAGCCCUUCAAGUAGAAACUAGGCAGCAGGGCAAUGCUUCUGCACAAGAUCAACUUUACUGAGUUACACAUUGUGCACUAAUACAUAUAAAGCAUCUAUUGUAUGUGC